CCUACGGGUGGCUGCAGUGAGGAAUAUUGGUCAAUGGGCUUACGCCUGAACCAGCCAAGUCGCGUGAGGGAAGACUGCCCUAUGGGUUGUAAACCUCUUUUGUCAGGGAGCAACGCCGGCUACGUGUAGCCGGACUGAGAGUACCUGAAGAAAAAGCAUCGGCUAACUCCGUGCCAGCAGCCGCGGUAAUACGGAGGAUGCGAGCGUUAUCCGGAUUUAUUGGGUUUAAAGUGUGCGUAGGCGGAAUGCCAAGUCAGCGGUAAAAUUGCGGGGCUCAACCUCGUCGAGCCGUUGAAACUGGGUGCCUUGAGUGGGCGAGAAGUACGCGGAAUGCGUGGUGUAGCGGUGAAAUGCAUAGAUAUCACGCAGAACUCCGAUUGCGAAGGCAGCGUACCGGCGCCCAACUGACGCUGAAGCACGAAGGCGUGGGUAUCGAACAGGAUUAGAUACCCCGGUAGUC
rnacentral:rRNA from 1 species